AAAUUGAAGAGUUUGAUCAUGGCUCAGAUUGAACGCUGGCGGCAGGCCUAACACAUGCAAGUCGAGCGGUAGCACAGAGAGCUUGCUCUCGGGUGACGAGCGGCGGACGGGUGAGUAAUGUCUGGGAAACUGCCUGAUGGAGGGGGGUAACUACUGGAAACGGUAGCUAAUACCGCAUAAUGUCGCAAGACCAAAGUGGGGGACCUUCGGGCCUCAUGCCAUCAGAUGUGCCCAGAUGGGAUUAGCUAGUAGGUGGGGUAACGGCUCACCUAGGCGACGAUCCCUAGCUGGUCUGAGAGGAUGACCAGCCACACUGGAACUGAGACACGGUCCAGACUCCUACGGGAGGCAGCAGUGGGGAAUAUUGCACAAUGGGCGCAAGCCUGAUGCAGCCAUGCCGCGUGUGUGAAGAAGGCCUUCGGGUUGUAAAGCACUUUCAGCGGGGAGGAAGGCGUUAAGGUUAAUAACCUUGGCGAUUGACGUUACCCGCAGAAGAAGCACCGGCUAACUCCGUGCCAGCAGCCGCGG
rnacentral:rRNA from 1 species